CCUACGGGUGGCAGCAGUGAGGAAUAUUGGUCAAUGGACGCAAGUCUGAACCAGCCAUGCCGCGUGCAGGAAGACGGCUCUAUGAGUUGUAAACUGCUUUUGUACGAGGGUAAACGCAGAUAGGCGUAUCUGUCUGAAAGGAUCGUACGAAUAAGGAUCGGCUAACUCCGUGCCAGCAGCCGCGGUAAUACGGAGGAUUCAAGCGUUAUCCUGAUUUAGUGGGUUGAAAGGGUUCGUAGGCGGGCGGAUCAGUUAGAGGUGAAAUCCCGGGGCUCAACUGCGGAAUUGCCUCUGAUACUGUUAGGCUAGAGCGUAGUUGCGGUAGGCUGAAUGUUUGGUGUAGCGGUGAAAUGCUUAGAGUUCAUACAGAACACCGAUUGCGAAGGCAGCUUACCACGCUACUUCUGACGUUGAGGCACGAAAGCGUGGGGAGCAAACAGGAUUAGAUACCCUUGUAGUC
rnacentral:rRNA from 1 species